AGCCUUAAGUUUAAUUUAAGGUGAGACCUGCCCAGUGCAAUAAUGUAAACGGCCGCAGUACCUUGACUGUGCUAAGGUAGCAUAAUCAGUUGGCUUUUAAAUGGAGUCGGGAAUGAAUGGAUUAAUAGGAUAAAGCUGUCUCUUUUAUAUUAAUUUGAAUUUACUUAUUAGGUGAAAAUUCCUAUAUUUAGAAAAAAGACGAGAAGACCCUAGGAGUUUUAAUUAAUAGUUAUUUCUAACUUAUGUUUUGGUUGGGGCGACGUUGGAGAAUUAUAACCUCCUAUAAUUUAUUUGCCGAUAAAAUAUGAUAAAAUAAACUACCCUAGGGAUAACAGCGUAAUUCUUUUAGAGCUUGCGACCUCGAUGUUGGACUAGGAAUUUACUAUGCUAGCCGCUUAUAUAUAUUGUUCUGUUCGAACAAAUUUCUCCU
rnacentral:rRNA from 21 species